UUUAAAUGUACUAUGUUUGAAUCAGAUCCUAUUAUUUAAAAAGUUGUUAACAUUUUAACUUACUUUAUGCACUGAAUAGAAUCUACACUAAUCUAGUCAACUUUAUAAUUCAUUUGAAUUUUAUCUUUCCGAGUAAAGUUUUUUAAAAUUGUACAUUAAAGUUACGGGUAAUAUUAUCAGCGUUUCGUUUUGACGAAUUUCUACUUACUUUGAGUGCGAACCACGGCAAAACGGAAGGAAAUAUGAAAAAACGGAUUACACUACGUUAAACUACAGUUUAUUCUCUAUCGAUGUAUGUAAAUAGUUUUUCAAUUUUCGAAUUCACGAAAAUCGACUUUUGAUCGCCGAAAGCCGUUUUGUCCCACUGUGCGACGUAUGAAGCGUAUCUCUAACCCUAAUAGUUUUCAAAUUGUAAAGUGAUACGGAUGGACGUGUUUGCGCUUUAUAUAUAAGAUUCAACGCAAAGCAGUAUACACGACUAAGCAGAGUGCACAUAUUAUUCCCGUUUAAAAAAGAAUAUCCUGCGAAAAAUUGGCUCAGCGUGGGACUAGCAAGCGCGAAGUAAUUUGCAUGCUUGCAAUUCCACUAGCCGCGAAACUCGAAUUACCCGCGUAAUUAAGAUGCACGCUCGUGGUCUCUGUUAAUUAACCGCGUGUUCAUGCAUCGUCUUUGGCUUCGAGAAGCGGAAACCGCGCAAAGAAACUAGCGACAGCGUGAAAAGGAUGAUUCGUCUUUCGCAAUUUAAAAAUGUUUGCGUCAAUUUUAUUUGGUUAAAAAAAAAAGAAAAAUAUAAACGAAAAGUGAGAACAGAACAAAGAGGGAUGAAUAGAGAACUCAGAAAGAAGAGUUUGGCGAUUUUUCGCGCCUUUUCACGCAACAUUUACGCCAGUCUAAAAACGAGGGUUGUUUGCAUCCUCUUACGCUCGGUUGCCUUCCUCAGCGAAUCUGUGGGGUGUUUCUAAUCCUGAUGCAAACAUGAUGGCUGUUUGAGCGAUACGAAACUUGGUGCUCAACUCAUCACCCGCUUCAAAAUGAUGGUGAGAAAAAUACCACAACAUUUGUCACGAUUCAAGAAAGUUUUGAGCGAGAAGAAAAUAAAGGGUCAGAAAGUUUCUUUACCCUCGGGAAAGGUGAAUUUACAAGCUAAGAAUACCAGUAACUGGAAGGUUGAAGAUACCGAUGUCUACCAAGUAUGGUCACUUUCGAUACAAAUUGACACACUUCCUUUUAAAGGCUUGCACUGAUUGGCUGGCUUGGUGUGAAUUCAAGGAAAGAACUGAAUUUACGAUGACGAGUCAUAAAUCAAACCCUUAAAUGGAGUACACCGAAUUUAAAACGCACGCCGAAAGCAUGCGUUGAGUGUGGUUUAUAGAUAAAUUGUUCGCUCAAAUGCUGUCAGACGUUAAGGAAGGAAGGGUAGGAAGAGCGUAUCUGGAUAUGAGAUCACUCGACAUCCGGUUCCACGUUGGCUGGAUGCAGAGAAUGAUCUGUCAAUGGGAAGUGCGUUAUCACAGUACGCGUGGUAUGUCAUCCUCCCUUUUUUUUUUCAUUCUUCUCCCCCUUUUGCUUCUGUUCUGCGUACGAUUUUAAUGGGACGACCUAAUUUUGCGAAAAUACACGAGGAAAGAUAAAUUCAACUGAACGAUUGAAAUCGUUCCCUUGAUUAAAGCAAUAAGCUUGGUUAUGGAGAUCUAGAAGGCUUGCGAAACUAUGGGGUAAGUGCAUCGAACGUUGAACUAAUAAGUAACUUUGCGAGGCAAAGUGUUCUAUGAAAGUUAUGUCUUCGUAAUAGCAUUAUUUCUUAUAUGCAUUACAUGAUUGCAUCUUCAAUAAUAAUGCAAUUUGCGAAACGAAGGGGUAAGUAUAUCGGUGAGUGAAGUAGUAAAGAAUUUUAUAUGUAAUAGAAUUAUUUCUUGCAGCCGUUAUUUAAUUUAAUUUUUACAGAGUAUAAUACUUUUAGAACAAUGCUAUUUUUUAUACGUAUUACACGAUUGUAUCUUAUAAUUCUAAAGGAUAAAUGUAUUGAUAAGAUAACAAGGAACUCUUUUUCAAGAAAUUUCAUUUUCAUAUAUAAAAAAUAAUCUAUAGAUUUUAAUAAAGGAAAUAAAUUUCGAGUUUCAAAUUUUCAAUUUUAUUAAAAUACAAUUUUCUAAUCAAUUCUACGAGUGAUAGAAACAAAAUACGAUAAUUAAAUUGACUAGACAAAGUUUUUACAUGAGCUAAACGGUGCUGAUGCUAAUUGGACGCUAAUCAGAGCGUUAAGAGUACUAUGUUGGAAUGAUUUCUUUCAGAAUACUUUACGGAUGAUAAAAGGAUUAAUGCUUCUAAUUGUUCAAUUAAUUUGGUUACAGAAUAAAUAACAUUAUUAGAAAGUAAAAGCUAAAGUAGAAUCUUGAAUGAAGUAAAUUUAGCCACCAAGAAGAAAUAAUUAAUAAUUAGUAUGAAAUUUAUUCCUGCAUAUUUGAAUACUAAUUUUUACAUAAACUGAAAUAUUUUGUUGUCCUGAUGAAACAUUAACGACCAAAAAGAGACGUUAAACUAAAGUAUCGUUUUUUCUUCUUUUAUGAAACUCCAUAAGUUAGGUGAAAUUUCGUAUUUACUGAGUUUUUUGCGCCGAAAGUAUGGUCUGAAAGUUGGAGGUAUUAGAUUAAAGUGAUACGUAGACGAUGGCAGAACGGAAACGUUUCUCACCCCCGCAUUCUGUGAUAUGGGAGGACGAGCGAGCGCGUAGGACUCGCUCGCGUGUAUCCGUUCCGUGGCUGUUAUCAACUUUCGAUGUAUCUUAUCGCUCCAUGAAAUGUACCGGCAAAUCAACAAUGGGUUGAAUAUGAAUUGAAAAAGAUUAGCCUAAUUUUCGAUUUAUCUUGCGCGAGUUCAUUGUGUUCAUAUCCUGUGACAUUCAUUUUUUAACGUUGCAACAGAUAGUUACAAAAUGCACCUUGUUGCAUUCAUGAUCGUCCGAAUUUUCUGUGUUAUUAAUUAAGACCAAGAAAAUAUUUUUGAUUAAUUAUGUAGGAAAUGUACAAUUAAAUACAAAAUAUGUAUACAAAUACAGUGGUUAUUAUACCUACAUUAAUGGGGUUGUCAAAUAAUUUAAACACUGUUUAUGUCAUGAGUAGCAUUUAAACGAUUUUCUAGAAGUUUAUAAAAAAUAUUCACUAGUUUAUUUAACAAAUUAAUUUGUCAAAUGUAAAUGUAACCUAAUGAUAGAUUCUAAAUUAACAAACCAAAUGGAAUAAAUUUUAUUGCCUGUUUUGCGGUUAUAGUUUGUUACAUGAUAUCCUCAGUCAGUUAAUAAUACAUCAACUCCGAAUAUAAUUGAUUAUUAUUUUAAUUUUUCCUCUGAGAUGAUUAUUUAAAAAUGACGCAAAAUUCACAGAAAAAAUUUAAACGGGACGUAUUCCGAAUUUUAUUGUUUUUCAAAGCAAACGUAUACCGAGGUACCAUUGUAUAUCUUAUUAUUCGAAAUUAUGAAUGAAAACUAUAUUAAAAUAAAGCGAGAGAUGGACUCUUUGGGGAUUUGACCUACCUCAGACAAAAAUUCGAAUUACGUCAAGCGGAAAGAAAUCGUCAUUCACAGUUUGUUACAAGUCGAAUCCGCGAUACAAGUCGUAAGUUUUUCUUGUAUCGGUGACAGGGUGGUACAAAGUGCGAAUGUCACGAGGGGUUAAUGGCACGUAGGUUGUUCGGUAUCAAAGAAGGAUAGCCGCGAGGCAGAGAGGCGUAUAUGGUCGGUGAAACUGAGAUUUCUUUAUCGGCGCUUAGAUACCCUACUUCGUUGAAGCGAAACAAAAUAGGGGUAACACGUGCUCGUCCCGGCCUCGUCAACGUCGCCGUCUCCAUUACCACGUGGGCGUAGGCGUAGAUCUCUUCUUCUUCCUUUUUUCCAACCCCGUGUAUUUUCACGUUAGCUUUUAACUUGCUCUUUGAUCAGCUUGCAUGAUGAUCGCCACGUGGAACAACUAGGAUUUUCUAAUUGUUUACGGGACAAACAGGUUUUGCCGAUAUUAAUAGGCUCUUUGAUGAGUCAAAUUUAUUUUUUUUUGGGUGAUAGUAAAACGCGCUGGGAAACUGGUAAUAGGAAGAUGUUAUUAGAAGGGCGAUGAAAAUUUAGGAAGAGGCUGAAUAAAAAUGGAAAAGAGGCAAAUGUCACCGUUUUAUUAUUUUAGGAAAAAGCAAGUUGAAGGAAAAAUUAUUUAUUGUUUUUAAUUAAUGGAAAAAAAUACGGCAUGUGCCUGGUUUCCAAUGAACCCCUUAUUAAUUACUUAAUGAUGUUAUGAAAGUUUGUUAUUUGGUAUUUGGGCUAUUGAAAUUCAUUCAUGAAUAUUUCCUAUUCACUAAAUUCUUACUAAAAUAAAACAUUAGUUUUAUUCCUCUGGUCUCUGUAAUAAAUACAGAACACAGUAAAUUUAAAAUCCUCUUUGCAAAGAAUAAAAAGUGAAGGAUUAACUUUCUGUGAUUCAUUGUAAUACAUGUAGAACAGAACGAUAAAUUCGAUUUCAGGUAUUCAAGUGAAAUACGUGAUUAGAGUUACAAAGCAGUACAUAAAGUAAAGCACCACAUGAAACAUUUAGUUUCACUUUUUCUGUUUUUAUUCAUUCUCUUACAAGCUCAUAAUUCAAAUCAUUUUGUAACCUCAAAAUGAAUGAUUUUUAUUAUACCCAUGGUUAUAACAUUUUUUUGCUUAUGUGAAUUAAACAAAAAAAAAAGAAUUAAAAACAUUGAAAUUCAAUAUCAUAUACCUAUGAUCGUUGGUAUCGAUGGUCGAAAACUCGGCUGUGUGUACUUAUUUAAAACGGAAAUAUUAACGCGGUCGCGUGUAACGCAGAGGAAAACGCGAGAAAUCGGCAAUCGAGCAAUCUCAGGACGGAACUGCAACAGGAAAGGUCCGCGUUUCCAACGUUAAUUCGUGCCAAUCCUGAUAACGAGACAACGACGUAGACGACGACUUCAUCGACCCGUCGCCUCGCGUCGUACAAAGUAUGUAGUUGCAGCACGUGGGUAUGCACGUAAUAUGUAAUAUCUGGGUAAUCGUUACGUAGAUAGGGAUCAAUGCCAAACGCGAGGAACGCGAGAUGCUGUAAUUUAUCAUUAACGCCUACAUUCGCCGGCCUGGGCCGAAUCGUUAACCCAAAGCGUAGAAUUGUGCCAUUCCCACUACGUACUCGGUAAUUUCGGAGCGAGGUCUGCCGCUUUUGUUCGAAUUCAACCAUUCUGUUGCGAUCGAAAAAUGGAGACUGAUUUCUUUUCAUUUAUUUAUUUAUUUGGUUAUUUCAGGUGAAUUAACGAACGUUUUAACUGGUAGUGAAUCGGAGGCUAAUUAUUAAGUUUUGGAAACUCUUGUGAACUUUUGGGAAAAGUGUAAAGUUUCGAAUUUUGCAUUUUCCUUAUAAAGACAUCACCCGAAAUAUCCUCAGAAUUUUGUAUGUUGAUAUAGAAUCUUUUCAUGUUGGUAUUCAAAGAAAAGGAUCUACGGCUUUUUUAGGAACUUUGCUAUUCGAUGAGCCAAAUAAAAAGUCUACAAUCAAUUCUAUUGUAUCAAUAAAUCUGUAUCUGACAGCCAGACUAACCCAAGUCCAUUUCCAUUACUUUUCAGUAGAGCAGAAAAACAAGACCGGUCAUACAUUGCUUUGGGUAGAAAAAGUAAUUCAUAUGAUUAUAUCUCCUUUAUUUAAAAUGCAAUAUGUAUAUGCCCCUAUAACUUUUAUAAAGUAAAGAAAGAAUAGUAAAAUAAUGUACAUAAGUCGAUUUUGAAAAAAAUGGGCUUGAAUUUUUCAUGUCAUUUUGCAUAGAAAUAUAUUAGGAUAAAAUGACUGAACAAUUAUUAGAUUCUGAGAUUUACAUAUUGAGUAAAUAUUUUUAUUAAGGAAAGAGAAAAGAAAUUGCCAAAGACUAGUUCAAUUUCUGAGAUGUUCUUUUUGGAAAAAUAAUAAUAGUUUUCAAAUGAUUUUAUUGACCUAAGAAAGUUUUGUUAGAAAUUAUUGAUAGUUGUAGUCACAGUAGGCAAUGGAAUCAAACUCGUAACACAUUGUGGAAAAAUAAGUCGAACAAUAAUUAUGGAAUGAAUUUUAUGAAAUUGCAGAGAUUUUUAUCUUUGGAUUCACAUUAAUGAACGGUACAUAUUUAUUUAAAGUAUCUAUUAUAAAUAGAAUCAAAAUGUCUGGAUAUCGUUUUAAAAUCUAGAGGAGAAUUCAUUUGCGUUUGUUCGAUCGUUUAUGUGAAAGAAUACCCCAUCAAACAAGAACAUCUGGUCAACGAAAAAAAGCCAUGACAUCAUGCUACUUCUAUUUUACAGUUCGUCUUACAUCAGUUUAUUUUUUAUAUUGAUACUUCACGUUUUAAACAUAGAAAAGUUCAAAUGUUUUUUGUUUUUUAAUUUAAUUCCCUUACUAUACUACAAAUAUCAUGAAGAAAUUCAAGUACUUUUAUUUGUUAGAAACUUAAUAUUUUUAAAAAGUAACGUGUAAUUAUUAGCAGUUUACUCUAUAAAUUUUUCCAAAAAUGAAAACAUAA